rnacentral:rRNA from 1 species
CAGUCGCCGCGGUAAUACGAAGGGUGCAAGCGUUACUCGGAAUUACUGGGCGUAAAGCGUGCGUAGGUGGUGGUUUAAGUCCGUUGUGAAAUCCCCGGGCUCAACCUGGGAAUGGCAGUGGAUACUGGCUCGCUAGAGUGUGUCAGAGGAUGGUGGAAUUCCCGGUGUAGCGGUGAAAUGCGUAGAGAUCGGGAGGAACAUCAGUGGCGAAGGCGGCCAUCUGGGACAACACUGACGCUGAGGCACGAAAGCGUGGGGAGCAAACAGGAUUAGAUACCCGCGUAGUCCCUGUCUCUUAUAU